ACCGGCAGCCAUAUCACCCUGUAGCCCAAGACUGGUUGCCCACUGAAGCUAAGCAGGGCUGAGCUGGUCAGUACCUGGAUGGGAGACCUCCUGGGAAAACUAGGUUACUGCUGGAA
rnacentral:rRNA from 1 species